AACACGGAGCGCUUGGAAGACCACGAUGUCAUCUUCCUUCUGUCAGGUAAGUAGUUUAUUGUUUUUAAAGAUCGUUACGAUCUAGGUUUACAGUCCGAGUGCGGAGAGACUCCGUCAAUCCACACUAUGGACGCUGUUCAUCAGCUAAUACGCCAUUGUUAGCCACAUGCUUCAGCCCACGGUAGCCUGUGCUACCUGGGAGGUGAAUACAUGGUUGUUGAAACCAGUUCAAGACGCUUAGCUCAUCAUUGAGGGACGCUACAAUAUAAAUAUAAACAUGAAUUUGAUUUAUGAAUGCUUUAGAUUAAUAAGGAGUGUAUUUGUCUACCAUUACUCCACAAUAUCAGAUCAAUUUGGUUUAAUGUAUAGUAUGCAAUAUGACAAUGUUUUCAUGUUAUGGAGUUGCGAUUCAUUUUAUAAAACAAUUGCUAUGUUCUGUUUUUUAAUCAAGCAGGAUCAAAGUGAAGCUACAGGAGUUUCAUUAACGUCAAUAACUUGGACCGAACAGUUUGUUUUGCUUGAUGAAGAGCAGGAAGGGCAGCCUGGAGAGAAAGAGAAGCCGGGUUGAGCCCACUACCAUCAUCCACGUACCACGAGGAAGAUGAGGGAGAGAAAUGAUCCUACCAUUAAAGAGACUGUGAAAAGAACGUUGAGAACAUCACCACUCUACAGGAAGACACAGUCCAGUAAUGGGUGUCAGAAGUUCAGUAGUGAACAACAGAAACAAACAAUCAAAAUUACCUGCAGAAAGCCCUUGAUGGACGCUUCAGCUGCAUCGUCAGACUGGUGAGACCGCAAGAUGCCAACUUUAAUGCCAAUUUAUUUGUGUAACAUUCUGUGACCAAAUGUAUAGAUAACUUUUUGUAGAUUGUAAAAAUAGAUAACCCAUUUAUUACAAAAAACUACACUAGAAUUACCGCACUGCGUUGUAUGACUCCGCUAACCAGAGCAGUGUCCGUCUACAUAUUUCUACAUAUUUUCUCUCAUAUAAAUGACACUGUAUCUCUUGACAACUGAAACCAUAAGAUGAGGUCAGUGUGGCCUUGACCUUUUUACUUUAAGACAAAUACAAAGUUAGACAAUCCAAAAACAUGCAGUUAUGCCUCCGGCGACUCGCUAUUGCAGAGGCAUUAAAACCGUAGUGUAGUAGAUUGGAUUUUAUUGGUGUUACAUUGGACAUCUUGUAUGGGUACACCAAAAAAUAUAUUUGGUUUCACAUUCUAGAUGGCAAUAAGCAGAGUCAUCAACUCAGGAAAAAUAUUUCUGUAGAAAAGAAAGCCUUGUAUGUGUGUAUGUAUACAUACACACAAACGCACAAUUGAGACGUUUUUGUCUUUUAUCAUAUAUUCUCAGGCAGUACUGAUGCAUUUACUGAGAGGGGACGUGAGGGCCUAC